AGCGGCGGACGGGUGAGUAAUGUCUGGGAAACUGCCCGAUGGAGGGGGAUAACUACUGGAAACGGUAGCUAAUACCGCAUAACGUCUUCGGACCAAAGUGGGGGACCUUCGGGCCUCACACCAUCGGAUGUGCCCAGAUGGGAUUAGCUAGUAGGUGAGGUAAUGGCUCACCUAGGCGACGAUCCCUAGCUGGUCUGAGAGGAUGACCAGCCACACUGGAACUGAGACACGGUCCAGACUCCUACGGGAGGCAGCAGUGGGGAAUAUUGCACAAUGGGCGCAAGCCUGAUGCAGCCAUGCCGCGUGUGUGAAGAAGGCCUUCGGGUUGUAAAGCACUUUCAGCGAGGAGGAAGGGUUCGGUGUUAAUAGCACCGUUCAUUGACGUUACUCGCAGAAGAAGCACCGGCUAACUCCGUGCCAGCAGCCGCGGUAAUACGGAGGGUGCAAGCGUUAAUCGGAAUUACUGGGCGUAAAGCGCACGCAGGCGGUUUGUUAAGUCAGAUGUGAAAUCCCCGAGCUUAACUUGGGAACUGCAUUUGAAACUGGCAAGCUAGAGUCUU
rnacentral:rRNA from 1 species